rnacentral:rRNA from 1 species
CAAGUCGAGCGAACUGAUUAGAAGCUUGCUUCUAUGACGUUAGCGGCGGACGGGUGAGUAACACGUGGGCAACCUGCCUGUAAGACUGGGAUAACUUCGGGAAACCGAAGCUAAUACCGGAUAGGAUCUUCUCCUUCAUGGGAGAUGAUUGAAAGAUGGUUUCGGCUAUCACUUACAGAUGGGCCCGCGGUGCAUUAGCUAGUUGGUGAGGUAACGGCUCACCAAGGCAACGAUGCAUAGCCGACCUGAGAGGGUGAUCGGCCACACUGGGACUGAGACACGGCCCAGACUCCUACGGGAGGCAGCAGUAGGGAAUCUUCCGCAAUGGACGAAAGUCUGACGGAGCAACGCCGCGUGAGUGAUGAAGGCUUUCGGGUCGUAAAACUCUGUUGUUAGGGAAGAACAAGUACGAGAGUAACUGCUCGUACCUUGACGGUACCUAACCAGAAAGCCACGGCUAACUACGUGCCAGCAGCCGCGGUAAUACGUAGGUGGCAAGCGUUAUCCGGAAUUAUUGGGCGUAAAGCGCGCGCAGGCGGUUUCUUAAGUCUGAUGUGAAAGCCCACGGCUCAACCGUGGAGGGUCAUUGGAAACUGGGGAACUUGAGUGCAGAAGAGAAAAGCGGAAUUCCACGUGUAGCGGUGAAAUGC